GGAAGAAGCAUGUCUUGCGGUGGCCAUGCGGAGCAUAGCCCACCCUGUCGGCUUCGCCGCAAGGGAUUAGCAGAUGGACGGGGUAAUCGCUGGAGCCGAGGAGGCGGCGGCAGCCUCAGCGUGUGAGGGUUGCGUUUCCAACGUUGUGACAUCGGCCUGGUGGGUCGCUGUGUUUCCGCACGGCGAGUACGCAGACGCCGGCAACUAGUACAGGGGCCUGCUGCGCCACAUCCAAACGAAGAGCAUUUUUCUCUUUGGUGGUGCUCACCGGGCUUAUCUGCUAAACCGGCUGAACGACACCAUCUUCGGCGCCUCAGAUGUGUGGGUGAUACCGCACAGCCCUGUUAAGGUGCCGGCGAUGCACGGGGUUCACGGAGAGAUGCAGUGCAUCGAGCCCGCGAUCGACGCCAUCAUCCCCGCUCCUGCGGUGCUACAACAAGGACAUUGAUAUCGUGCCGACCGCGGUGCGGUAUAUGUCUUGUGCUCCGCAUGGCACGAAUCGCGUUCGCUCUCGUGCACACCAUUGCGAAGGUGACCGUCAACCACCAGACGGAGUGGGCAGGGACUUUGCCGUCGUCAUCGCGACGGACGCCGUGCACUGCGGCAACGAGGACCGGUUCCCGGGCCGGCAGUACGCGCAGCUCAGCACGGAUCAGAAGGGCUAGCAGCUGGGGGUGGAGCACGGGCACACCAUUAUCGGUGGCUGCCUCGAGGGAGAGCUCGACGUGUCGCGGGUGAUGACAAUUGGUGACUAAACCAUCUCAAAGAGGGACUUCCGCGAGCAGAAGCGGAUGCGUUGCGGCCGAUACGUGGUGCCCUGCGGUCUGCUGACCAGCUACCUUUCCCGCAACAGAGCCGAAAGGCGGCGCCACUGUAGCGUACGCUCUCGUGUUAAGGCACCAGCAUGGGCAGUCGAGCUUACAUUUGUGAGAAAGAUAUCAACACAUGGGCACGACCGCACCCACAAACCUGCGCCACGGGGUCAGCUUCGCCAGCGCCGGCUACGAGUAAACGUGCAGCUCGGCUUUCCUACUCUCCGCACUCGUUCCUUUGUUGCGUCUUUUGCGUCAGCUGUGUGGCCAUCACUGAAUCGACAACC